rnacentral:misc_RNA from 1 species
ACCCUCUUGAUCCAUUGAUCAUCCAAUGGCAUCAGACAUGGACAUGUUCAUCAGUGAUUGUCUUGAAUUGUGCGUGAUUGUGUCGUGGUAGGGAUGGCAUUGCUGUUGUUGAUCGACCAAUCGUUACCUUUUGU